rnacentral:rRNA from 1 species
CGAACCGUGCGAACGUUGUUCGGAUUCACUGGGCUUAAAGGGCGCGUAGGCGGCCGCUCAAGUCGGGGGUGAAAUCUUUCAGCUUAACUGGAAAAUAGCCUCCGAUACUGGGCGGCUCGAGGGAGAUAGGGGUGCGCGGAACUUCCGGUGGAGCGGUGAAAUGCGUAGAUAUCGGAAGGAACGCCGGUGGCGAAAGCGGCGCACUGGAUCUCCACUGACGCUGAGGCGCGAAAGCCAGGGGAGCAAACGGG